rnacentral:rRNA from 1 species
AUGCAUUGGUUUGCAUGGUGGAGGAUCUGUACAAAGGAGAGGGGAGGCAUGGGAUUUCGGUACAUUCAGAGUUUAAACUUAGCGAUGCUCGCGAAACAGUGCUAGAGAUUAAUUGACAACUAUGAUUCCCUAUGUGCUCGAGUCUUACGAGCCAAGUAUUACCCCACGGGAGAUAUACUAAACAGCCAGUUAAAGAAGGGUUCGUCCUAUGUGUGGCAGAGCAUCUGGUCAGGAAUUCAAACUUUCAAACAUGGUUGUAUUUGGAGAGUGGGUAACGGAAACAAGAUAAACAUAUGGGAUGAUUACUGGAUUGCAAAUAGUGCAUCAAAGAAAAUCCUUACAGCCCAUGGGAACCGAGUUCUCACAAUGGUGAACGAGCUCAUAGACCCAACUACGGAAGAAUGGGAUGAGCAACUGAUUCGGGACAACUUCUGGCAUAUAGACGCAGAACGGAUUUUGCAAAUCCCAUUAUUUCAUGUGGAAACUGAAGACUAUGUGGCAUGGCAUCUAACAAAGAGUGGAGUUUUUUCAGCACGCUCC